rnacentral:rRNA from 1 species
CGUAGGGUGCGAGCGUUAAUCGGAAUUACUGGGCGUAAAGCGUGCGCAGGCGGCUUUGCAAGACAGAUGUGAAAUCCCCGGGCUCAACCUGGGAACUGCAUUUGUGACUGCAUGGCUAGAGUGCGGCAGAGGGGGAUGGAAUUCCGCGUGUAGCAGUGAAAUGCGUAGAUAUGCGGAGGAACACCGAUGGCGAAGGCAAUCCCCUGGGCCUGCACUGACGCUCAUGCACGAAAGCGUGGGGAGCAAACAGGAUUAGAUACCCUGGUAGUCCACGCCCUAAAACGAUGUCAACCGGUUGUUGGACGGCUUGCUGUUCAGUAACGAAGCUAACGCGUGAAGUUGACCGCCUGGGGAUACGGCCGCAAGGUUG